CCAAUUUUCUCCAAAACAAACCCUAAAUGAAUUUUUGGCUAUAAAGUCAUAUUUAUACCUUAAUUCAUUGGAGUGGCAAACUUGUAAAUAAGUCCAAAACCCACUCCAAAACCAAAUGGCCGGCCAUGGGAUAUUAUUGGCCUAAUUGGGCCUUUGUGAAUCAUUAUUCAUUAAGUUGUCAUACAACUUAAGUCAAUGGACUUGACGUUCGAAGCCCAUUGGGCCUUGAGGUCCAAAACUAUCCCGAGGAAUUUAACGAACUUUAUUCGUUUAAUUAAUUAACAUAUUAAUUAAUCCUUGCCAUAAAUAAUUAAACCAUUUAAUUAUUCUUACUCAUCUCCAAUGUUUCUUCAAUCUCCACCUUACA
rnacentral:lncRNA from 1 species